UCAACCUCCAACAUAAGUAAAACCCUCUUCCUCUUCCUCUUCCUCUUCCUCUUCCUCCCAAAUCAAAGUUUUCCUUCAAAUUUUGCAGGCACAAAGAGAGAUGCUGCGCACAUCACUAACAAAGUUCUCUUCUCUGCGUUCUCUCUCCUCCUCAAAUGGGUUGUUUUCUUCGCAAUCUUGUCGUGCAUACAGCUUAAUUCCCAUGGUGAUAGAGCACUCUUCUCGAGGAGAGAGAGCCUAUGAUAUCUUCUCUCGUCUCCUCAAGGAGCGUAUCAUCUGCAUCAAUGGCCCCAUUGCUGAUGAUACUGCCCAUGUUGUGGUUGCUCAGUUACUUUACCUUGAAUCUGAAAACCCAUCUAAGCCUAUUCAUAUGUACCUUAACUCCCCUGGUGGUGCUGUCACUGCUGGUCUUGCAAUUUAUGAUACAAUGCAGUACAUCCGUUCUCCAAUUAAUACGAUAUGUUUAGGACAGGCUGCAUCAAUGGCUUCACUCCUUUUGGCAGCCGGUACCAAGGGUGAGAGAAGGGCCCUCCCAAAUGCAACAGUUAUGGUCCACCAACCAUCUGGUGGUUACAGUGGGCAAGCAAAAGAUAUGACUAUUCACACAAAACAAAUUGUCCGUGUUUGGGAUUCAUUGAAUGAAUUAUACUCUAAGCAUACAGGGCAGCCUGUUGACAAUAUUCAAAAAUACAUGGAUAGAGAUUAUUUUAUGACACCGGAAGAGGCUAAAGAGUUUGGGAUUAUUGAUGAAGUCAUUGAUCAGAGACCCAUAGCUUUGGUAAGUGAUGCUGUUGCGAAUGAAGACAAAGACAAAGGUUCAAACUAGGAUACACGAGUGAGUGCAUCCUGGUUGGCAAAAGCUGUUUUUUCUGGGAGAUAAACAUUACAACAUGUUUAUCUCAGGACUCAGGGUUGCACAACUUGGAUUGGAGCCGGUGUGUGUGAAGUAUUUCCCUAUACCUAUGCUGAUGGCUUAAUCUCGAAAGAAAACUUUCUUCUAACGUAGUUGAUCAAUAAUGGUUGAACAUCAUUCAGAAAAACGCUGAAAUUUGGAGAGUAGAUAGAGAGAAGCUCUCGUCGAUUUUAGCUGAAUUAAGAUAUGCAGCACUGAUAAAAAAAAAAAAAGCUGGAUAGAGCGAUCUUUGAACAUGGCACAGAUUUUCGGUGCUCGACCAUGCUAUUGUAUUCUGUAGAUGGAACAAUUUCAGCUCUGUAUUUGUCGUCCUCAGAUCGUAUUGAGUUUUUUCAUUUUUAUGUUAUGCGACCUCAGAACGUAUUUGUCGUCCUAAAUGAAAAUGUUCUGAGAUGAUUUUUUCCACA